rnacentral:tRNA from 1 species
UAAAAGAUAAGCUAAAUUCAAGCUAAUGGGCUCAUACCCCAUAAAUGAAAAAUUUUUCUCUUUUAA